GUGGGGAAUCUUGCGCAAUGGACGAAAGUCUGACGCAGCGACGCCGCGUGGGUGAUGAAGGCCUUCGGGUUGUAAAGCCCUGUGGGGAGGGACGAAUAAGUGGUGGCUAAUAUCCACCAUGAUGACGGUACCUCCUUAGCAAGCACCGGCUAACUCUGUGCCAGCAGCCGCGGUAAGACAGAGGGUGCAAACGUUGUUCGGAAUUACUGGGCGUAAAGCGCGUGUAGGUGGCGAGGCAAGUCGGGUGUGAAAGCCCUGGGCUCAACCCAGGAAGUGCACUCGAUACUGCCUAGCUAGAGUCCCGGAGAGGUUGGUGGAACUCUCGGUGUAGAGGUGAAAUUCGUAGAUAUCGAGAAGAACACCGGUGGCGAAGGCGGCCAACUGGACGGUGACUGACACUGAGACGCGAAAGCGUGGGGAGCAAACAGGAUUAGAAACCCGUGUAGUCC
rnacentral:rRNA from 1 species